UGACGGUACCUGACUAAGAAGCCCCGGCUAACUACGUGCCAGCAGCCGCGGUAAUACGUAGGGGGCAAGCGUUAUCCGGAUUUACUGGGUGUAAAGGGAGCGCAGACGGCAUUGCAAGUCUGAAGUGAAAACCCGGGGCUCAACUCCGGGACUGCUUUGGAAACUGUAGCGCUAGAGUGCAGGAGAGGCAAGUGGAAUUCCUAGUGUAGCGGUGAAAUGCUUAGAUAUGACAUAGAACACCGAUCGCGAAGGCAGCUGGCGAGGAUGCGACUGACGCUGAGGCACGAAGGCGUGGGGAUCGAACAGGAUUAAGAUACCCUG
rnacentral:rRNA from 1 species